rnacentral:rRNA from 1 species
CAGACUCCUACGGGAGGCAGCAGUGGGGAAUAUUGCACAAUGGGCGGAAGCCUGAUGCAGCGACGCCGCGUGAGGGAUGACGGCCUUCGGGUUGUAAACCUCUUUCAGUAGGGAAGAAGCGAAAGUGACGGUACCUGCAGAAGAAGCGCCGGCUAACUACGUGCCAGCAGCCGCGGUAAUACGUAGGGCGCAAGCGUUAUCCGGAAUUAUUGGGCGUAAAGAGCUCGUAGGCGGUUUGUCGCGUCUGCCGUGAAAGUCCGGGGCUCAACUCCGGAUCUGCGGUGGGUACGGGCAGACUAGAGUGAUGUAGGGGAGACUGGAACUCCUGGUGUAGCGGUGAAAUGCGCAGAUAUCAGGAGGAACACCGAUGGCGAAGGCAGGUCUCUGGGCAUUAACUGACGCUGAGGAGCGAAAGCAUGGGGAGCGAACAGGAUUAGAUACCCUGGUAGUCCAUGCCGUAAACGUUGGGCACUAGGUGUGGGGGACAUUCCACGUUUUCCGCGCCGUAGCAACGCAUUAAGUGCCCCGCCUGGGGAGUACGGCUGCAAGGCUAAAACUCAAAGGAAUUGACGGGGGCCCGCACAAGCGGCGGAGCAUGCGGAUUAAUUCGAUGCAACGCGAAGAACCUUACCAAGGCUUGACAUGGACCGGACCGCCGCAGAAAUGUGGUUUCCCCUUUGGGGCUGGUUUACAGGUGGUGCAUGGUUGUCGUCAGCUCGUGUCGUGAGAUGUUGGGUUAAGUCCCGCAACGAGCGCAACCCUCGUUCUAUGUUGCCAGCACGUGAUGGUGGGGACUCAUAGGAGACUGCCGGGGUCAACUCGGAGGAAGGUGGGGACGACGUCAAUCAUCAUGCCCCUUUAUGUCUUGGCUUCACGCAUGCAACAAUGGCCCGGUACAAA